UGGUGUAUACGGUAAGCGGUAUUUGCUCCAAAGGACACUACAUUAUCACGACAUGACGCACUGAUUUCCGUGUUUUGAAUCAAAUAUGGCGGCCGAACAAGAAGCCGCGUUGCGAAUGACUCAAGCUGUUGAAACGGCGUUAAAUCCGUCAACAGCGCAGAAACAGAGGAUAGAAGCUUAUGAGUUCAUCGAGCAGUUCAAAGCCAGCUCUCCAUUAUGUGUUGCUGUGGGGCUAUUGAUGCACGAUCGUCAAAACUCUGCUGUGGUACGCCAUACCGGACUUCAGCUGUUGGAGCACGCUGUCAAGUUCAACUGGAACUCAAUGAGCAGUGAUGAUCAAGCAAGAUUGAAGGGAAUCUCUCUUCACCUGCUUGCACAGGGAAGUGGCUCUUUGCCAGAUGAACCUCUACACAUCAAAGAAGCAUUAUCACGACUGAUUGUUGAGAUAACCAAGAGGGAAUGGCCACAGAAAUGGGGAUCACUUCUUCCAGACCUUAAUAGUAUCUGUGCAUUAGGGGAUGUUCAAACUGAAGUGGUUCUAAUGAUUCUACUUCGACUUGCGGAAGAUGUGAUCUCAAUGGACAGCAACCUGCAACCGACCAGGAAGAAACAGAUCACACAGGAGUUACACACACAUAUGGACGGAUUGUUUACCUUCUUUAUCGAGACACUUCAGAAGAAUACUGCAAAGUUUAGAACUCUAAAGAGUGAGAUACAAAGCGGAGAUGUUAGCUGUCAAGCUCAGGCAGCAGUUCAUCAGCGUCUAGCUGAGCAGACACUGUUAACACUGACUGGAUACUUAGACUGGGUAAAGUUUGGAGUGCUGUAUGUUCAGGAUUGCAUCAUUCUACAGAUGCUGUGCUUGUUACUAGAGGAAGAUGCACUAAAAAUACCAAGUUGUGAAUGUCUUCUCAUUAUUGUUAGUAGAAAGGGAAAACAUGAGCAGAGGACACCAAUGUUGAAGCUCUUUAGUGAGGAUGCCAUGAGCGUUAUGCUGUCCGCUGCCCAGAAAUCUAUUACAGCUGAAUUUGAUGAGAAGCAGUAUCUUUUUCUGAAAAGGCUAUGUCAAGUGCUUGUCAAUCUAGGGGAAGUACAGCUAUAUUAUUUAUGGAAUGCUGACAAGCCUAAAGAAAGACCUCCAAACUUCAGACAGUAUUUAGAAGCACUGAUAGCAUUCUCAAAGCAUGAAAGCUUGACUCUGCCACACUUGACAAAUGGACUCUGGCUUUCAUUGCUGAGAAAUCCUGUUAUCGCUAUUGAUGAAACAUUUCAGGAAAUAUUUCCAUCUCUUUUGGAGAUAGCCAAAGCUAAACUUUACAAGGUUGGUGAUCCAGAAGAGGAGGAUUCACCAGGAAGUGUUUUUAACCGAGAAGACUUCAACAGUGAGAGAGAAUUCACUUCUGUUAAUGGCCAGGUGCGAGGGGAAACCAUGGACAUCAUUCGUCAAAUAACAAUGAUACAUCCUGUUGAUACUUUCCUGUAUGGAGCCGACUGGUUGUUACAGCGGGCCACACAAACCCCAGCAGCUGAUGUGCAACUCAGUGCAGCUGAAACAGAGAAGAUGAUACAUGAGUGGGAUGGGCUUACUCGCUACUUGGAUUCAGUGAUGUCCAGAUUUUUUAAAGUGGAUAAUUACGAGGAGAUCAUUCAAGGCCAGGUGACAUUUCGAGAAUUACCCGUGGCAUUUGUUGAACUGGUCAGGAAAUGCAUCCAGUCAACUUUAGCAGUUGACUCAAAGGUCCCCGAUGUGUUGUCUAGUGUGGCUGAUGCUACUCAAGCCCUCUAUCCUUUCCUUACAUACAACAAAGACUUGGUGAUGGAUGUCCUUAAAAAGAUGUUUCAAGUGAUUCUGUUUAAUACAACUGGUGAUCCAAAGGGUCCCUGGAGUCCUGAUGUUCUCCACGCCCGUCGGCAUGCAUGUGCUGCAGUCAUAAAAAUUUGCAAAGGUUUUGGAGAGCUACUUGUGCCAGUGUUUGAUGCCCUAAAGCAGCAUGUUCAGUCCUUGUUUGUAGGAGAGCUAGUUCCUGUGAAAGACAGAUGCACUUUAACUGAAGCAUUAGUCAUUGCCAGCAAUAAGCUAAGUAGAGAAAAACAGAAUGAAUUUCUGAUUGAGCUGUUGACUCCCAUCAGAGACAUCUGGCUUAGUGACAAAAUGCAAGGGGCAAUCUCAUCUCCAGAAAAUUUUCUUUCAUUCAUUGGAAUGGACCAGGAUACAGCUUCUUACUUUCAAAAUGCUGAGUUGAAAGGAAGGAGAUUUCAAGUCAUGUUGUGUGUCACCACUAUAAUGGCCGUUGUUCGAAGCUGUGCUUUACUCAAUACCCAGGUGCCUGAACAGUCUGUAUGAUCCUGUAGUAAAAUCAGCCAUGACUCCUGCUUACACCGCAGCCCUUGACAUGCAUGAUCUUGAUACAAGCGCAAUUUAUGUGCUGCCUUACGAAAGGGUCAAAAGUGAAGUGCCAACUGUCCAAAACCCUCUUGCAGCAACAAGAAGCUUUUUAUAUCACUUAUCUGACACA
rnacentral:misc_RNA from 1 species